CCUCCAUUUCUUGACACACAUGUGAUUGUUAAGUACACAUGUGUGAUAUUACGGAGGAAAAGUGAAUACAAUGCUAUGUCUUCGGUACCGGUGUGUGUUAUUGUCUGCCGGUUCUAUCCUCAAUCGCUGUAACAUUC